rnacentral:tRNA from 1 species
GGGCACAUGGUGUAGUUGGUUAUCACGCUCGCUUAGCAUGAUCGCUUGAGCUGAUAUUAAUUUUCUCGUCUGCGAGAGGUGUUGGGUUCAAUUCCCAAUGUGUCCA